rnacentral:lncRNA from 1 species
UGUAUCAAUCCUCUGGCAUCCUCAAUGACUUGCAACAACGCCCUUGUCCUCAAGGGAAAACUGUGGAAACCUCAAUGCAAGAUUCUCUGCAAGCUCCCAUGCAGCUUCUGCACGAGACAAACCUUUCCAUAGAACCAGCACAUGGGUAGCAGCUUGGUUGAAACGCUUAACAAUCCUUCGAUCCAACACUGCCUGGGGUAGAAGCAAAGGCUCCUUCGGCAUCACAG